rnacentral:tRNA from 1 species
GGGGUUGUGGCUCCAUGGUAGAGUGCUCACCUAGCAUGUGUGAGGUACUGGGUUCGAUUCUCAGCACCACA